UCACGCUUUCGGACUGAUCUGAGAUUCGGUGUUGGAUAAGAGGAUUUAACAUUCGACUGUUGAAGCUAUAUGAUGCUUGACUCUCGAGCUUCUGAUCUCAGACAAGGAAGAACAUCAUGAGGUAUCCCAUACUCUCGAGCUUCUCAUCUUAGACAAGGAAGAACGUCCUGAGCAGCAGCAGCAGUAAUCCGAGAGAUGGUUUGAAGACUGGUGGAGUCAGAGAGGUGCCUCAACAAGUUCGUCUUCUUCUAAACCCUCUGCUCACCAUCUAUAUAUCAUGCUCAACAAGCUCGUUCAAGAUGAAGAUGAACUUCUCCAGGACAAAGAGCCGUUAGAACCAGUAGCUACAACACAAAGCAAGCCUCAGGAAAUAACCAGUUUUCACACUUCCAGAGGACGGAGGACUGAUCUGAGCUUUGGUAUUGAUAACAGUAAAAUGGCGACAGGAGAGUAAACAAGUCAGAGAGGAUAAAGAGCCGUGUCAAAACCAGUACCUACACAGGCAAUCCUCAUAAAAUAACCAGUUUUCACACUUUCAGGAAAAAAUCAGUACCCUGUUUUCACACUUCCAGAGGACUGAGGACUGAUCUGAGCUUAGGUAUUGAUAACAGAAUCUUUGAAGCACUAUAAUAGCGACAAGAGAACAAACAAGUCAGAGAGGAUAAAGACCCGUUAGAACCAGUAGCUACAACACAAGGCAAGCUUCAUGACAUAACCAGUUUUCACACUUCCAUAGGACUGAGGACUGAUCUGACCUUUGGUAUUUAAAAGAGAAAUCCAUAUCAUCUAAUUCAGGAGAGCAAAUAAGUCACAGAGGAUAAAGACCCGUUAGAACCAGUAGCCACAACUGCACAAGGCAAGCCUCAGGAAAUAACCAGUUGUCAGGCUUUCAGAGGAGUGAGGACUGAUCUGAGCUUUGGUAUUUGAUAAGAGAAAUCCAUAUCAUUUAAUUCAGGAGAGAAAGUAAGUCAGAGGGGAUAAAGACCCGUUAGAACCAGUAGCCACAACUACACAAGGCAAGCCUCAGGAAAUAACCAGUUGUCAGGCUUUCAGAGGAGUGAGGACUGAUCUGAGCUUUGGUAUUUGAUAAGAGAUUCGUUGAAGCAUUACAAUGGCAACGAGUUGAAGCAUUACAAUGGCAACGAGUGAGCAAACAAGUCACAGAGUUCAUCGGUGACUUAGAGAUAUCAUGCUCAACAAGCUCUUCCAAAUUACAGGCCAACUCCUACAGCCUCCAGGUUUAAGUUUCUAUAGAUAAUGCAUCACUCUUAUGUUUAAGGUCCAUAUCAGCCUACAGUUCAUCGGUGACUUAGAGAUAUCAUGCUCAAUAUGUAUUUUUGCUACUGAGUUUUGGAUUACUGGAUUGAACAUUCGGCUGAUUGGAUUGUUGAAGCUAUAAUGCUCGACUCUCGAGCUUCGAAUCUCAGACAAGGAAGAACGUCCUGAGCAGCAGCAGCAGUAAUCCGAGAGAUGGUUUGAAGACUGCUGGAGUCAGAGAGGUGCCUCAACAAGUUCGUCUUCUUCUAAACCCUCUGCUCACCAUCUAUAUAUCAUGCUCAACAAGCUUGUUCAAGAUGAAGACGAACUCCUCCAGGAUAAAGAGCCGUUAGAACCAGUAGCUACAACACAAAGCAAGCCUCAGGAAAUAACCAGUAACCCUUUUUGGUUGCAGGUUUUCACACUUCCAGAGGACGGAGGACUGAUCUGAGCUUUGGUAUUGAUAACAGUAAAAUGGCGACAGGAGAGUAAACAAGUCAGAGAGGAUAAAGAGCCGUGUCAAAACCAGUACCUACACAUGCAAUCCUCAUAAAAUAACCAGUUUUCACACUUUCAGAGGAGUGAGGACUGAUAUGAGCUUUGCUACUGAGCUGUGGAC